rnacentral:lncRNA from 1 species
GGCAUCCCGGGAACCAUGGGGCCUCCUGGUCCCAUCGGAGAGAGAGGAGAGAAGGGCGAGGGGGGUAAAGAAGGAAAAACGGGAGCUGCAGGCCCCCGCGGAGACCCCGGUCUCAGCGGGCCCCCAGGACCCACAGGAAAGGGCAAAGACGGCCCAGAUGGGGAGCCCGGGCAGCCCGGCGUCCAAGGACCUCCAGGGCCGCAGGGCCAGACCGGACCCUCAGGACCCCAGGGUGGGCCCGGACUGAGGGGCGUCCCCGGGGAAGGGAAGGUCGGAGUCCAGGGACCCUCAGGACUCAGGGGCGAGCCCGGUGCCGCGGUACUCUCUUUAUUAAUUUUGAAUUCAAUUAAUUUCAUCCCAUUUCAUUGA